CCCCGAGGUGUCCCUCAUGUCCCCGAGGUGUUCCUCACGUCCCUGAGAUGUCCCUGAGGUGUCCCUGAGAUGUCCCCGAGGUGUCCCCCAUGCCCCUGAGAUGUUCCUCACGUCCCUGAGAUGUCCCUGAGGUGUCCCCAGCAUGUCCCCGUCCCCGCAGGCCUUCAGCCGCGCCCACCGCAUCGGCCAGGCCAACAAGGUGAUGAUUUACCGCUUCGUGACGCGGGCGUCGGUGGAGGAGAGGAUCACGCAGGAGCUGGACGACAUCCUCAAGUUCGGCACCGAGGAGCUCUUCAAGGACGAGAACGAGGGGGACAACAAGGAGGAGGACAGCAGCGUCAUCCACUACGACAACGAGGCCAUCGCGCGGCUGCUGGACCGGAACCAGGACGCCACCGACGACGCCGACGUGCAGAACAUGAACGAGUACCUGAGCUCCUUCAAGGUGGCCCAGUACGUCGUCAGGGAGGAGGACAAGAUCGAGGAGAUCGAGCGCGAGAUCAUCAAGCAGGAGGAGAACGUGGACCCCGACUAUUGGGAGAAGCUCCUGCGGCACCACUACGAGCAGCAGCAGGAGGACCUGGCCAG
rnacentral:lncRNA from 1 species